rnacentral:rRNA from 1 species
CAUUCACGGAGAGUUUGAUCCUGGCUCAGGACGAACGCUGGCGGCGUGCUUAACACAUGCAAGUCGAACGAUGAAGCCCUUCGGGGUGGAUUAGUGGCGAACGGGUGAGUAACACGUGGGCAAUCUGCCCUGCACUCUGGGACAAGCCCUGGAAACGGGGUCUAAUACCGGAUAUGACCAUCUUGGGCAUCCUUGAUGGUGUAAAGCUCCGGCGGU